rnacentral:lncRNA from 1 species
UAUCUACAUUUACAUUCAUUUUAAGUAAAUAUUCAGAGCAGACAGCAAUAGAAUCACAAUAACUUCAAAAUCAUCCACUUCACCGCCUUCCCCAUCUCCUUCUGACUCUCAGAAUACUGCACCUACCAUACAAGCUGCCCUCCGCAGGAGACAAACCAUCCAUAUUUUCUACAUCUGGUACGUCCGCAUGCACCCGAAGCCUUCAGAUUCCACAGCUUUCAAACCAAGAAGAUCUGCAUGCUGGAUACGCUGGAAUAUCGACUAUUGUAUGUUUCGCCAGCAGAAUUCAGAUUGCGCUUGUUCAACCUAAAUUUCAGGUCAAAACCUUACUCGAAGAGGAAUUACUCACUGUACCUCGUCUGUCGCAUUAGCUGU